GCCGAAGUGGCGGAACAGGCAGACGCAGCGGACUCAAAAUCCGCCGAUGGCAACAUCAUCUCGGUUCGAUUCCGAGCUUCGGCACCA
rnacentral:tRNA from 1 species